CACCACAUUGGCCCAAGUCAUUCCUGGUCUACAACAACUUGGAUUUUGUCUCUUAGGAGCUAAAUUUGGGUCCAAAAAGGUUGGAGGGGACCUUGUGAGUUUCAAAAGACUGGAUAUCUUGGGUUCUUUUUGUCCAGAGCUGAAUGGAGAUGAGGAGAAUUUCUUCAUCAAAGGAGAUGGCAAGAGGAAGACCAAAGAUGGCUCAUGGUGACCACUUGGACGUGGAGACUUAGCUGACAGGGCAGCUGGCUCCUUCCACAGGAAUGCGGAGAGGAAGGGCAUCUCUUCAGUCACAGUCUCAGAGAUCCCAGGUCAUCUUCAAUGUUUCUGCUACAUAUGAAAAGAAAUCUUUUACGUUUUAAAAGUCUAAAGCAGGGGUUAUUUACCUCUGGGUAACCUGAUGAAGUCUACUGAUCUCUUCUCAGAACAAUAAAAUAAAAUAUAUAGAUUGACA
rnacentral:lncRNA from 1 species